rnacentral:antisense_RNA from 1 species
CAAACCACAUAACCAACUGUGCCAAGAUAAUCCUGAGCUCACUAUUGUCAG